CGCGCUUUAGUGAAACGGUAUCAUCACUGACUCAUGAUUAGUAAUUUCGGGUUCGAUUCCCGGGGGCGCAC
rnacentral:tRNA from 1 species